GACGAACGCUGGCGGCGUGCUUAACACAUGCAAGUUGAACGAAGUAGCGAACGGGUGAGUAAUACGUGGGUAACCUGCCCUCCUUUCUGGGAUAAGCCUUGGAAACGGGGUCUAACACCGAAUAAAGGGGGAUGGGCUCGCGGCCUGUCAGCUGGUUUGUGGGGUUAUGGCCUACCAAGGCGGUGACGGGUAGCCGGCCUGGGAGGGUGACCGGCCAACUUGGGACUGGGAUACAGCCCCGACUCCUACGGGAGGCAGCAGGGGGGGAUAUUGCACAAUGGGCGAAAGCCUGAUGCAGCAACGCCGCGGGAGUGAUGACGGCCUUCGGGUUGUAAAGCUCUGUUAAUCGGGUCACAGUACCGGAAUAGAUAUCCACGGCUAACUACGUGCCAGCAGCCGCGGUAAUAC
rnacentral:rRNA from 1 species